rnacentral:rRNA from 1 species
AUUGAACGCUGGCGGCAGGCCUAACACAUGCAAGUCGAGCGGAGCGGCGGACGGGUGAGUAAUGCCUAGGACUCUGCCUGGUACUGGGGGAUAACGUCCGGAAAAGGGCGCUAUUACCGCAUCCUUUCAGAUUAGCCUAGGUCGGAUUAGCUAGUGGGUGGGGUAAAGGCCUACCAAGGCGACGAUCCGUAACUGGUCUGAGAGGAGGAUCAGUCACACUGUAACGGAGACACGGUCCAGACUCCGACGGGAGGCAGCAGUGGGGAAUAGUGGACAAUGGGCGAAAGCCUGAUCCAGCCAUGCCGCGUGUGUGAAGAAGGUCUUCGGAUUGUAAAGCACUUUAAGUUGGGAGGCGUUACCAACAGAAUAAGCACCGGCUAACUUCGUGCCAGCCGCCGCGGUAAUAC